rnacentral:rRNA from 1 species
AGAGUUUGAUCCUGGCUCAGGAUAAACGCUAGCGGCAGGCCUAACACAUGCAAGUCGCGGGGCAGCAUAACAAUUAGCAAUAAUCGUUGAUGGCGACCGGCGCACGGGUGCGUAACACGUAUGUAACCUGGCCUUUACAGGGGGAUAGUCAGAGGAAACUUUGAAUAAUACCCCAUAACACACCAUUAAGGCAUCUUAUAGGUGUUAAAGGAGCGAUCCGGUAAAGGAUGGACAUGCGACCGAUUAGACAGUUGGUGAGGUAACGGCUCACCAAAUCCACGAUCGGUAGGGGGUCUGAGAGGACUACCCCCCACACUGGUACUGAGACACGGACCAGACUCCUACGGGAGGCAGCAGUGAGGAAUAUUGGGCAAUGGGCGCAAGCCUGACCCAGCCAUGCCGCGUGCAGGAAGACAGCCCUAUGGGUCGUAAACUGCUUUUUUAGAGGAAGAAUAAAGUCUACGUGUAGACCGAUGACGGUACUUUAAGAAAAAGCAUCGGCUAACUCCGUGCCAGCAGCCGCGGUAAUACGGAGGAUGCAAGCGUUAUCCGGAAUUAUUGGGUUUAAAGGGUCCGCAGGCGGCCCGUUAAGUCAGUAGUGAAAACCCGGGGCUCAACCCCGGACGUGCUACAGAUACUGGCGGGCUAGAGAAAGUCUGGAGGCAGCGGAAUGUGACAAGUAGCGGUGAAAUGCAUAGAUAUGUCACAGAACACCGAUAGCGAAAGCAGCUGCCUAAGACUUGUCUGACGCUCAGGGACGAAAGCGUGGGGAGCAAACAGGAUUAGAUACCCUGGUAGUCCACGCAGUAAACGAUGGAUACCAUCUUUUUGGCAAUUAUGCUGAGAGGACAAUCGAAAGAGAUAAGUAUCCCACCUGGGGAGUACGUUCGCAAGAAUGAAACUCAAAGGAAUUGACGGGGGCCCGCACAAGCGGUGGAGCAUGUGGUUUAAUUCGAA